rnacentral:lncRNA from 1 species
GUUCUGGGCCCAGAUCGCCAGAUCCCCAUAAGUCAGCGAUGAGGGAGGCCGAGCAGGGGCUGCCCGUUAGACGGCCGCAGAGUCCCAGCCCCCAGCCCUGCUCACCUUUCUUACCUCUCUGGCCCCGUCGGCAUUUGAGCCUGGGACCCCAGACGAAAGGAUACGCUUCCUUUUAGAACCCCUGCCAAUCUGAGGACGGGGCCACCCCACAGACGCCGUGGCUCAGCAAGCAGACCAAUGGCCGAGGAGUCUGGCAAGAGGCGCUUGGCAGAUGAGAGUGGAGUCUGUAAAUCACCCUCCAUGCAAUGGUUCAUCAUAAAGGAUAUGGAGCAAAAUUAGAGGAGGCACGAGAAGGAAAGCCGGUGAUGAACAAGGAAAGUGCCUGGUUGAAGCUAGCUUGCAAUCCCCAAAGUCAGAAGGUUGCCUGGGAAGCCAUGAAACAAAGCCAAAUCAAGGCAAAGCAGACACAUGGAGAUUUUGAGACUGAGAAGAGGAAAACUGAGGACAUUCAUGUGAGAUGGUUUCAAGUUUCCCUUAGAAGGAGAAGUUAUCUUCAGAAGGUCAGGUUGGUGAGGUGGGAGUUCAAAAACAACAAAGUAUGUAGCUACCAUUGUGAGGAAGACCAUGGAAAAUGGAUGAAUCAGAAUGAAAGGCUUUCUGAACAAGAGGGAGUUUCCCUGCACAAGCUCCCUCCUGCCUGCUGCCAUGUGAGACGUGCGUUUUGCCUUCCACCAUGACUGUGAGGCCUCUUCCCCGGCCACGUGGAACUCCCAGAGACAGAAGCAGAUAAUGCAAGUGUCAUCUACAUCUGGCAAAAGCCAAAGGUUUGGAAGAUGGAAAAAGGAAUCCAGGCAAAAAGGAGCCCAAGAUUGAAGUGAAUGACCAGGUGCACCAGUUCAAAUGCAAUCAGGAGGGAGAGGGGUAGAGGGAGAAGCCUAGAGCAGCGCUUCUCAAACUGACUAUUCAAGUCACCUGGAGAUCUUGGUGAAAUGCAGACUCUGGUGCAGUAGGUCCUGGUGGGAACUUGAAAUUCUGCAUUUUGACCAAGCUCCAAGGUGAACGUUCAGUGCUGUUGUCCUUGGCCCACAGCGGGAGGAGCAGGGAUCUAAGACUUGGAGAUCAAAUGUCAAGCUCAGAAGAAAGACUGGAAGUUUGGGGACAAAACCCAAAUAUGGCUAAAGAAAGCCUGUAGGAUGAAGUUGGAAGUUCCAGAGCCUUCUCUUCACAUAAUGGGACAUGCAAGGGGGAAACCAAAUCAAAAGUGUAGAAUGCGUCGCUGGAUGUCUUUGACAUGUUAUUGUUCUGAUAGAAUAUCAGCGGGGAGCGACUGAGGACCUCCUCACUACCCUCCCUUGGAAGAGUUUGUCUGCAAUGGAGCCAACACAGUGGAAAGCAGAGCUGAGAAAUGGACAAACAACUCCUGAUGCCUCAUUUGAGCACCUGGAUUUAGCCACGUCUGAAGCUAUUAUAUCCUUGAACUUUUGAAUCAUGUAGGUUACCAUAAUUCCUUUUUUGUUAAAGCUAAUUUGAGUUGGGUUUCUAUCACUUGCAAUCAACAAUUGACCAGGUGCUUAGUAGAUAAUGAAUGAGUGAAUGAACAAAUUCAAUUCUGUAAGUAUUUAUCAUCUCCUUACACGGCAGGCACUGUUUUAAGUCCCAAAAAAAGAGGCAGAGGAGCGACAGAGAUGACUUCCUCCCUUGAAAACGAAGCAUGUGGCCUGACAACCUAAAAUUGGGGUCAAUCCAUCCAAUUAUGGUGACUGCUUAGAAAUAUCCCUUUUCCUCCCAACGUUUUCCUUUCCUUCUCCCAUAAACAUAAUAAUGUCUCCUGCCAGUACUAAGGCAUGGCCCAUGGACCCACUAACACCUAUGCUCACGUUAGCUCUUGAGGCCGAGUGGCUUGGUUCUAUCUGGUUAUCAGAUGCAAACUUCAUCACAGCAGGGAUUUGGGCUAGACAUUAGAGGAAUAGUGUGGUACCAGAUGGUGUUUCUGAAGAAGGUUGUCCUAUUUUUGCAGUUUAAGGAUUUGAUAAUAAAUCUGCCUGGCAGCCCUCAGAUGUGAUUUGGCCUUGAAAUUGUCUCUGUUAAUCCUUGAUGCUGUGUGUAUCUGUCAAGGUCCAACCAGAAAAAACAGAACCUGCUCUAAGUAUCUGAACAAAGGGAAAUUUAAUGUAAGGAGCUGAUUGCACAGAUGAAGGAAGGGGCUGGGAGGCAAACAAGAGGGAACUGUGAGGUAACCCAGGGAUUUGCCACAGUAGGAAGACAUGACCACUACUAGGAUAGAGAGGUAAAAAAUAAAAAAAUUAAAAAAGAGGUGGUGUUACUUGUAUUCAGGAGGUGGAGUCAUCCAGAGGAGGCUGAAGCCAUGGCAGGUCUGUGUGGCAGAAGCUGCUGCCAAGGAAGACAUACCAUGGCUCCAAGAAAAGCUGCCAGAGACAGAAAGUGUGGGGGAGAAAGAUUCUUCCUUUUCCCUGCCUCCCACCUCUCAAACUCACCGCAGAGCUUCCCCUUGGCC